UUCAUAACAUUUAUUAUGUGCAAUACUUUCAUUUUAAUUGAAUUUCUCUAUUUUCCCAAGAAGAUGUAUAUAUUCCAUAAAUUCCCGCUUUUAUUGUAAAAACAAUGGUAACGAAAGAAAAUGCAUUUAUAGCAUACGUAUACAUUACUGUUUUUAUACAAUCCUGUCUUAAUAAAAUAAUUGCAGUUUAAAAUAUAUAUACGUUUUUAUAGUAGCGAUCAAUUUACGAAUAGAAGAUAAAAAAAAGUACAGAGCGAUAUACAUAUAUAUUUAUGAUUGUUUCUAACACGUGGAAGAGAAAACAUUGUACAUAAAUAAUAUUCGGAUGUCCACAGAAAAAAGACUGUACUUUGCUCAGAUAUUUUGAUAAAGAUUCGUUACUAUGUUUAAUAUAUAUUUGUCGAGAUCAAAUUUCUUUUUAAAAUCAAAGAUUGUCAGAGGUUAUACAAACGAUCAUGUUUGUUAUAUCAAACAACGAAAACAUUGUUUAUACGAACUGAAAGCGCACAGUUAUAGCAAUUACGCAAGUAUCAAUACCAGGGUUUUAUGUCCUUUACUAUAUAACAAAUAUGGAUAUAAUAAAAAUGAUCCUUUAAGUAGGCAUGUUAAAAGAUGUCUUUCAAAUUUAUUGAAUGUUAACAAAACAUUCUGUACGGACAGUUUAGUCAAAAACGCCAAUGUAUUUGGAGAUCUUUCAUAUGAAAAAUAUGAAAAAGUUGAAAUGGACGAUGAUGAAAUAAAAGAAGAGAGAUUUAUGGAAAAUGAUGCAAGAAUUCCAAGGUGGCAAAAAUUAAGUCUUGGUCAAUAUUGCGAUCUUAUUAUAUCUCAUAUAGGAAAAAAAGAUUUGAAUCAAGCAUUAAGCGUAUUAGAUUUAGUAAAAGCAAAUCGUGACAAGCCUAAUAUAUAUAUGUAUCUUCUUUUAAUACGUGCAUUUGCUUUACAAGGAAAUAUCAAAGUAUGUUUUAAACUCUAUAAUAAACUGAAGGAUUAUAAUUUAACUCCUACUCCAGCAAUAUAUAACAGUUUAAUCAAUGUUUGCGCUGUAUCAAAAGAUAAAAAGACAGCAUUGAUGUAUUUGCAUCGCUUGAGAGAAUAUUUCCACGAGCAUAAUUACAGUUUAAAUGAAACACACUAUAUUACUUUAAUAAAAGCUUAUAGUUGGCAUCAAGAAAUGAAAACUGCUUUUGAACUAGCAGAUGAGGCACAGGAUAAACAUCUAUUCACAAAAGAUACAUAUGCUUGUUUAUUUCACUCAGCGAUCAGUAAUAAAGAAAGUGGAUUAAUAUAUGCUUUAAUUUUGUGGCAUAAGAUGAAAGAACAUAAAAUAAGACCAAAUUUAACGCAUUAUAAUCUACUUUUAAGAGCAAUCAGAGAUACAAAAUUUGGAGAUCUAAAAGUAAAUGAUAUCUUGCAAAGAAAUUUAGCAGGUACACAAAUUCAGCUUAUUGAAACUGGAAAACCAGACUUAUUACAAUCCCCACCUGUAUUAAGCACCAUGUGUUUUCAAAUGAUUAAGGAGCAGACACAAAAUAAAUCUAUAGAUGUUGUGUCAAAGAAUAAUGAUUCAAAGGCUGUUGUGACCACUGAAGCUAUAUUGUCCCAAAGUUUAAAUGACAUAUUAGAAAUGAAUAAAUUACUUUUAUUUGGAGGAGUAGAAAAAUUAUUCACACAAAUGGAAAGUGAUAAUGUCAUACCUGAUGAAAAAACAUUAACAAUCAUGUUGGAAUUACUUCCACCUUCCACGCAUAUAGAAAAUAUUUAUCUCAAACAUAUUGAGAGUAAAAAACUGAAAACAGAUAUUACUUUGUAUAACAUGCUCAUUAAAAGGAGAAAUAAUAGGAAACAGUAUAAAGCAGCAAAAGAUGUUAUUAAUGAAAUACAAAGACAUCAUCUUAUACCAAAUAUUAUAACAUUUGGGGUAUUAGCUCUUGGAUGUACAAGUCUUAGGCAAGGAGCAGAACUUUUAGAACAAAUGAAUAUGAUUGGUUUUACACCUAAUUCUAUAGUGUUGGAUAUACUAAUGCAGCGAGCAUGUCGCAGCAAAAAUUUUAAAUAUGUACAAUUUUUGAUGAAUUAUAUAUCAGAGUAUCAUAUGAAACCAUCUAAGUAUAUGUUAGAUACCUUAGAAAAGUUUGAGAAAUUGGUAUUAGAAUAUAUAAAAACCGAGAAUAGAUACAAUCGUAAAGAAAUAAGAUACGCAAAGAAGAAUUAUAAUGAAUUUAAAAUAUACUAUAACGAAUGGAAACAAAGAGUACAAAAAAUGUAGUGUUAAAGCAUCGAAAUAGUGUCUAUGAAUGUACUUAUCAACAGUGAGUAUUGUGGCAAAUUACAAAAUCAGUGUUAUCAUGAGUCCUGUUGGCUGCGCUCCACAUGUUUCUAAUGCUACAAAGUCAUCAACAUGAAGAGAUGGGGGUCGCGAAGUGUUUGGUGGUCUGGAUCUAAAUGGAUCUGCGCCUCUACCUACACCUCCUACUACUGGACCACCUCUUAAAGAAUUGGUAAAUUGCGUUCUACCUCGCAUAGGCGUAACUGCAAAAUGAUAGGAAGAAGAACAAUAAAAGAAACAUUAUUCAAAGAUGUCUCUUUACAUGUAUAAAACUUUUGUAUGAUAUUAUUACUAGUUUCUGAUUUGUUUUAUCAUAUAAUAAAUAUGUACAUCUGUAUA